rnacentral:rRNA from 1 species
GAGUUUGAUCAUGGCUCAGAUUGAACGCUGGCGGCAUGCCUUACACAUGCAAGUCGAACGGCAGCAUGAUCUAGCUUGCUAGAUUGAUGGCGAGUGGCGAACGGGUGAGUAAUACAUCGGAACGUGCCCUGUAGUGGGGAUAACUAGUCGAAAGAUUAGCUAAUACCGCAUACGACCUGAGGGUGAAAGUGGGGGACCGCAAGGCCUCAUGCUAUAGGAGCGGCCGAUGUCUGAUUAGCUAGUUGGUGGGGUAAAGGCCCACCAAGGCGACGAUCAGUAGCUGGUCUGAGAGGACGAUCAGCCACACUGGGACUGAGACACGGCCCAGACUCCUACGGGAGGCAGCAGUGGGGAAUUUUGGACAAUGGGCGAAAGCCUGAUCCAGCAAUGCCGCGUGUGUGAAGAAGGCCUGGUUGUAAG